GAGUUUGAUCCUGGCUCAGGACGAACGCUGGCGGCGUGCCUAACACAUGCAAGUCGAACGAGGUCGCCUUCGGGCAAUGACCAAGUGGCGAACGGGUGCGUAACACGUGAGAAACCUGCCCCGAAGACUGGGACAACCACGGGAAACUGUGGCUAAUACCAGAUGCCCCCCGCUGAUCGCAUGGUCGGCGGAGGAAAGGCUCCGGCGCUUCGGGAGGGUCUCGCGGCCUAUCAGCUUGUUGGUGAGGUAACGGCUCACCAAGGCAUCGACGGGUAGCUGGUCUGAGAGGACGAUCAGCCACACUGGGACUGAGACACGGCCCAGACUCCUGCGGGAGGCAGCAGUGGGGAAUCUUGCGCAAUGGGCGAAAGCCUGACGCAGCAACGCCGCGUGGGGGAUGAAGGCCCUCGGGUUGUAAACCCCUUUCAGCAGGGACGAAAUUGACGGUACCUGAAGAAGAAGCCCCGGCCAACUACGUGCCAGCAGCCGCGGUGACACGUAGGGGGCAAGCGUUGUCCGGAAUUAUUGGGCGUAAAGAGCUCGUAGGCGGUUUAGUAAGUCAGAUGUGAAAGGUUAGGGCUCAACCCUAAGACUGCAUCCGAUACUGCUAUGACUAGAGUCCGGUAGAGGAGUGUGGAAUUCCUGGUGUAGCGGUGAAAUGCGCAGAUAUCAGGAGGAACACCGACGGCGAAGGCAGCACUCUGGGCCGGUACUGACGCUCAGGAGCGAAAGCGUGGGUAGCAAACAGGAUUAGAUACCCUGGUAGUCCACGCCGUAAACGUUGGGCACUAGGUGUGGGACCUUAUCAACGGGUUCCGUGCCGUAGCUAACGCAUUAAGUGCCCCGCCUGGGGAGUACGGCCGCAAGGCUAAAACUCAAAGGAAUUGACGGGGGCCCGCACAAGCGGCGGAGCAUGUUGCUUAAUUCGAGGCAACGCGAAGAACCUUACCUGGGUUUGACAUGUACGGAAAAGCUAUAGAGAUAUGGUGUCCUUCGGGG
rnacentral:rRNA from 1 species